rnacentral:rRNA from 1 species
AGUGAACGCUGGCGGUAGGCCUAACACAUGCAAGUCGAACGGCAGCACAGUAAGAGCUUGCUCUUACGGGUGGCGAGUGGCGGACGGGUGAGGAAUACAUCGGAAUCUACUUUUUCGUGGGGGAUAACGUAGGGAAACUUACGCUAAUACCGCAUACGACCUACGGGUGAAAGCAGGGGAUCUUCGGACCUUGCGCGAUUGAAUGAGCCGAUGUCGGAUUAGCUAGUUGGCGGGGUAAAGGCCCACCAAGGCGACGAUCCGUAGCUGGUCUGAGAGGAUAAUCAGCCACACUGGAACUGAGACACGGUCCAGACUCCUACGGGAGGCAGCAGUGGGGAAUAUUGGACAAUGGGCGCAAGCCUGAUCCAGCCAUACCGCGUGGGUGAAGAAGGCCUUCGGGUUUUAAAGCCCUUUUGUUGGGAAAGAAAAGCAGCAGGUUAAUACCCCGCUGUUCUGACGGUACCCAAAGAAUAAGCACCGGCUAACUUCGUG